rnacentral:rRNA from 1 species
UACGAAGGGGGCAAGCGUUGUUCGGAAUUACUGGGCGUAAAGGGCGCGUAGGCGGCUCAUGAAGGCUGUGGUGAAAGUCCGGGGCUCAACCUCGGAUCGGCCGUGGCGACUCGUGGGCUGGAGCACUGUAGAGGCGGGUGGAAUUCCGGGUGUAGCGGUGGAAUGCGUAGAGAUCCGGAAGAACACCAGUGGCGAAGGCGGCCCGCUGGGCAGUGGCUGACGCUGAGGCGCGACAGCGUGGGGAGCAAACAGG